rnacentral:lncRNA from 1 species
GGUUUUUUCUGCCUUAGGGUGAUCCUGGGACAUGUCUCCUCUGUUUUGAUGGCUGUGCCAGGUUUUACAGAAGGCAGAUUUAUCAGCUUUUGUGAAAAAACACAUGCAAUCACUUACUGCUGAGAUCAGAGUGAAGGGGGCUUAAGAGAGCUGAUAAAAUAAGCAGCCUCAGAACAAAAAUAAAUGUAUACUAUGACAUCUGAAAGUAAAGAGGGUGAGAGACUUCCUUAUGACUGUGGAGACUGCUGAUAGUUGCUGCAGGAAAUAGAUUCUAUGAGCGCUUCCUUCCUGUCAGGACUGAAAACAGGAAGCCCUGGAGAGCUGACUCUACCUCAGCACUGUGGGGAAGGAGUGGGAGAAGCAAUUGGAAAUUGUGGAGUCACUAACUAGAAGAAAUCUGGGUUCUUGAGUGACUGCAAAAGAAUGUAACAUUAGCAAGAAAUAGAUCUUACAUUAAGCCUCAGAGAUACUGGUGCUGUUUGUUACAACCAUUAGCCUACCCCAACUAAUGUAAUCAGUUCUGUAAGACUUUAGCUAUUUCAGCCUCCAAUGAUCUUUUCUUGCAUUUAGGUUUAGACACUUGUUUUUAUUAUUUAUCCUUAAAUAAAUUUUCCUUAGGUCAGUACUUUUUAUGAAAC